UCUGCUAUAGUCAGAGAGUACUUGCAUCUUCGAGUUAGAUUUAGGCAAGAGGAAAACUAGGGUUUCAACAAGUGCCAAGGCUUUUGGUUGUUCCGCCAAGUUGGCUACGAUCGAUUUGGAGAAUCCGUCUAUCAAUUUGCCGAGGCAACCUCGACAGAUGUAGGUGAUCACUCCUCUAUUUGAGUUGGUUGCAAAGGAUGCGUCAAUGCUACCUACGAAGGAGGCAUCUAUGUUCAUCUUGAGCGUUCCAGGGUUCGGAGGUCACCAUUUUUGAGGUUCAGGGGAUGUUUCCCGAGAUGGAAUGGUUCUAUCCUUCUAGAUGCAUCAAAGGGUCAUCGCAAUUUGGUUGAAUUAUUGUGAGCUUUAUGGGUCUUCUUUCAAAUUAUGUAGCCACUCAUCAAAUUGAGUCAACCCCACUCUUCUUAUUCUGAUUUGCAAGGGAUCCUCACUCCAUAUCUGGGAUGUCCAAGGAUAGAGUAGCAAGGUGUGCUCGAUCAUUUCCACUUUCUGAUUGCAUAUAGGGCAUAUGGUUCAGGUGCUAUCUUUCUCUUAUACAAAUUUUACAAUGUAGGCAGGGCAUUUUGACAUGUGUUCCAUAGGAAAAUUUUGACUUUGGGGGUUGUUUCUAAUUGCCAUAUACAUUUCCAAA